rnacentral:tRNA from 1 species
GCCGGAGUGGCGGAAUUGGCAGACGCAUCAGACUCAAAAUCUGACGAGGAUUUCCCUCAUAAGGGUUCGAUUCCCUUCUCCGGCA